UUCGGGGGGGGAGGGUGCUCCCUCUGCCCAGAUUGCAAGAGGGUGCAGGCCAGACCGAGGGACCCCACCGGUGCAUG
rfam:Myotis brandtii contig227640, whole genome shotgun sequence.